GAAGUGACGUCCACAUUUCAGACACAUGUCCCUGCCACCUGCGGACAUUCCAUGAGGUCAGCAGCACGUACUACAGCGAUGCAGCCGCCCUCUGACUCAGAGGCUUAAGGCUGUUUUACCCCUGAGGGCUAUCAAGACCGGCUAAUGUCACCCAACACAGUGGCUACAUCUGUCUCUGUCCAGCCCCCAUCUCAGGGCACAGAGGGUGCUGAUGGGAAAGGUAAGGAGCAUCUGAAUGGUGUGGCUGAGGGUCUCCCUGUGGAGAAGAUGAUUCGGCACAGGGGAGCACUUUUCCCAUAAUCAGGGGUAAAUUACCUGAGAGCGGGGUCAGGUUACACAUUGAUUUCAGAGACAAACAAAGCCCCAGGACUGCCCGUAAACACUCGCUCACUGCACUAAUGAGAGGACUGACCAUGCAGUCCAGUCAUGGUUUGAUUGCAAAGCAUAAAUGCUUCACGUUACAGUGCAGCGUUAUUUUGUGAUUGUGAAGUCAUUCUGUUCACAGGGUUAUGCGCCAUUGAGAAUUCAGAAAGAGAAUGCCUUUUAAAUUGCAAUUCUUGUUUGAAUUAAGGAUGCAGAAUUGCAAUUCAGUUUUAAAUGUAAGGAGAUAGAAUUAAAAUGAAUUUAAAUUCAAAGAUAUUCUUAACUGUGAUUUUAACUAAAAAAAAAAGCAAAGUUCAUCAAGAUAAACUUUGAAUAUUAGCUUUGAAAAAAUGAUGAUGAUAGAUAGAUAGAUAGAUAGAUAGAUAGAUAGAUAGAUAGAUAGAUAGAUAUGGGAAAAAAAAAAAAAAAAAAACGUCAGUCUGAUCAUAAAAGAUAAGGCAGAAUGGGAUCUGAAAGAUCUAGGAAUUACAUUGGAGAAAUUUUGGUUUCGGGUUAGAGAUUUUGAAGAAAAAAAAAAAAAGUAGUUUUGUACAAUAACAGUGUGUUGACUUGGCCAAGCCCCCUAAACAGGAAAAUAGAGGACAACAGAGUCACAACGUACAUAACACAGCCAUCAAACUGCACUUAAGUAACCCAUAGGCCGUUCCACUCGCUGAGCCCACAAUACCCAAACGGGCUUUCUGGGGUGCACAGAAUAUUUGCUAAUCCUCAAGAACAGAUGUCUUAUUUUUGCCCUGAAAUCCCUAGCUGGCUGGCUGGCGAGGGGAGUGAGCCCUCCAACGGAUAAGCCUAGAUUGGGGCCUUGCAGUGGGAAAGGUCAGGAUCGGAGAGGAGCUGGAUCCGGCAGGCCCGAGGGGAGGUAAGCGAUCUGGGGGCCAUACAGGAGAUGGAACGGGUGAGAGAAAAAGAGCGUCACUGUCCUGUGCCACUUUCCUACCGGCCGUGAGAUCUCCAUACGGGGGACGAGUGCUUCGACAUUUCCUUAGAUCCUCUGCCAAGAGCGGAGCAUCUGGCAUGGUGUCAGGGACUGGCAUUAGCGCGCAUUAGCAGUGGGGGAGACCCAGCCCUCUCCAGAUUUGUCCCCUCCAGCAGGGGCAUCACCAGGCAGGAGCUGCUCCAACCGCUAGACGAGGUGGGGAACUGCGGUGGAGGUUUGGGCUUCAAAUCAAUACACUUGCUUUCAUUGGAACAAUUAAUUCACACAGGCGGCAUAUAAUGAGAAAAACCGCGUAGAGGCUCGGAGAAUAAAAUUAAGUGUGUAAUGCAUCCUAUUAAUUAUUCCAUGUUAAAAUGUGGGACGCACAUGCAUAUUGUUCAAUUAGAGCCAUUGUAGUUCUCGGUGUGGACAAUAACACCUUUCCUAAUAUUAGCCAGAGAGGGGAAAAAACAGCACCAUGUGUUAGGUGCCUCCAUUAUGUCUGCAUACACGUCUAUCCGGGGGCGGGUGUGACAGACAGAGAAAUGGGGAAGAUCCGUUGGGAAUACGCAGAAAAAAUCCACAAGCAGCACUCGGUGAAAGUGAUACUGCAGUUGUACCUACAGCAGAGUCCACAGGAGCAUCUGUCUAUCCUGAGACGUCCUGACAGAGCCCCAGAUACCUCUCACGGUGGUGUUUAGGGGUGGGAAUCUUUAGGCACCACAUGAUUUGAUUUGCUUUUGACACUCAGAAAAAAUGAGCAAAAAUUGUAGCUGUAGGGUUACAACAGCUUGUCACUGGAGUAGCACCCUUAAAAGGACAUCUUUGUAUAUUAUUUACCCCUAAAAGUUUCAUAGUUCACAUCUUUAGGUACUGUCCCAGUAGGCUCUUGUACCCCCCUAAAGGUAUAAUUUUCCAAUUUUUUUCUGACAGUGCAAGAAAGUAAGUAGAUAACAGUUUUUGAGCAACCUUAAAUGUUCACUACAAAAAAACAAAACAAAAAAAAAACAUAGAAAAACUAAAACUAAAACUAGACUUUAAUUCAAUUUACAAGUGAAAAAAAAAAAAAAAACGCCAGUAAGACAUAGUACUUAUAUUCAAGAUGCAAUAUAUAAGUUUUAAAAUCUUAUACACUGUCUACAUACAUUUUUAUGUUGUUUCAGGGAUUUUAAAAUAUUUUAAAGGGGACCUAUUAUGCCCCUUUUUACAAGAUGUAAUAUAAGUCUCUGGUGUCCCCAGAAUGUGUCUGUGAAGUUUCAGCUAAAAAUUCCCCACAGAUCAUUUAUUAUAGCUUGUCAAAUUUGCCCCUAUUUAUGUGUGAGCAAAAACAUGCCGUUUUUGUGUGUGUCCCUUUAAAUGCAAUCCGGCCCCCAAUCCAGAAGAGGGUGGAGCUUUAACAGCUCACACUUCGGUUGCACAACAACAACAAAGCUGGAGAAUCUCACGCAGCCAAAAUAACAAUUGUCAGUAACGGUGUUCAGCCUUACAUUGUUCAAACCGGAGUUCACCGUUUUCGCUUUGUGAAAACAAAAUGAUGGCGCCGCAGGUGGAAACGUGCAGAUUAAGGGGCGGUAAUAUCAUAAUAAGAUCCCCUUCCUACAUCACAAGGGGAGCGAAAUCUGAGCAGCUCUUUUUUUAUAUGCUUGCAGAGAAAGGCAUUCCAAAACAAAGUUACUGGGUUGUCCUUUUUCAUGUUUUCUGGGUUAGUAGAUACCCGAUUAUAGCACUUAAACACAGAAAAAGUCAAAUUUUCAUGAUAUAUCCCCUUUAAGCAUAAAAUAAGACAAAAGUAUUCAUUAAGGAUAGGAUUUUUUGUGACGUUGUCAAUUUAAAUCUUGUUUUUUUUUUCGUGCAUGACCAUGAUCAACUUUUAAGAUGUUGAUCAGAUCUACAGAUCUACAACUUUUAAGAUGUGCUACAUUAAACAUAAUUAUUAAAGUUGAAGUGUGUCAUUUUUUUAUGCCACUAGUGGUAGCAAAUGGAAUUGCAGUCUCUUUGAGCAGCCAGAUUAGGCUGCAAAUAGCAGUAGUUUUGAGCUGGAAACUGGCUUGUCUGUACAAUGGAAGAUGGGGAAGUAUUAGAAACUUGUACAUUUCUGUUUGGAGAUGCUUGUGGCCUAGAUAUUAUAAACUUAAGUUUUAAUAUUAAAUUCUGAUUUAUCAAUUUUUGCUAAUUAGAAAUAGAAAACACUUGAAAACACUCUUCCACAGAAGGAAGAGUUUGUAAUGAAACGAGGGUGAGUAAAUGAUGACAGAUUUGUCAUUUUUAGGUGAACUUCUUUAACUCGGUCACUGUAGACUUGAAGUACAACUUAAACUCUUUUAAAGAUUCUUCUUUUGUCUUUUAUGUGAAACAGGAUCAAAGUACCUGACUCUAACAGGCAUAUACACAGUUUGGGCUGGCCAGAAAACAUCCCAGUUGAAGUAAAAGCGCUCCAGUCAAUAAGAUACACAGACUGAUCCGUUUCCAAGGAGCCAAGGGGAAAGAGUCACCAUGGAUACGCAGGUCUACAACAAUAAAGUCCAGCUUGACGCCGGAGUGUGACCACAUGCUUUGACAAGAGCACCAAGAGCACAUUAUGUGUCCGGAGUGGAGCGCCGAGGGCUUCCCGGGCUCUGAUUGACCUGCCUAGACUAAUCUUUCAAAAGAGGGUUUAAGGACACAAGGAGUCUAUUCCAGUUCAACUCGACGACUACAUUGGAUGCAAGUAGACUGUAGUACAGGUGCUACUAUUGUUGCCCGCACGUUUGGUCUGUGGCCUGGCCCGACCGCUCGCUCUCUGACCACAGGGUUUAAUCUGUCAGCUGGGCGGCCGCACCUCAUGUGUCAGCGCACAUCACAUGGCUUGUCAGAAAAACACGCCGAUGCUGCGUAUGGCAUUCAGAGCUCACCUUGAAUAAAAUCACAACGGGGAUUGAGGGUCUGGGUUUUCUUUUUCGGACCGUUCACCUUUUGUGCUGAGUGUCAGCUGGGACACACCCUCCAUUGUGCCGCCUCCCUGGGAAACACCAGGCCGGGAUCCGCUGGGCUGCUGUAACAGAUGGAGUUCCCAUUGACAAGCAUUAUACGACUGACAGACCGCAACAGUUGGAGUUAAAAAUCAUCAUUUGUGUUCUACUGAAGAAACAAAGUCACCUACAUCUUGGAUGCCCUGGGGGUUUUCGAGAACCGGAGAAUGAAGAGUUCUGACGCAUUUGGAAGGACACCUGUCUCCCGUGCAGCACAGCGAAGCGCUAGGCAGGCCGCUGGCCUGUCUUGGCAGUGAACGCUAGCGAGAGGAGCACAGAUAAUUACAAACUCCAGGGAGGCCGUAGGACCAACCUGUUCCUCCAGUCUGAUCCAGCAGGUCCUUGCGGCCAACACCACCUCUUUCAAGACCCCCUCCGACCCCCCUACCAUCAGGCACACCACAUAAUGAUAUGGUCAUCACACAAAGGAGAUGGUGCCCCUCGGCUCUCUCAACAAGCGUACCUUAUAAUCCAGACCGUGGUGUUUAUUCAUGACUUUUGUGUGUAGCCAGGAUGUUGUUGACACACCUAAAACAUCAUAUUUGUAGAUCUGAUGCAUUUUUGAGAAAUUAUUUAAUUAUGAUACAAAAUUCAAAAUUAUUUAAUUAUGAUACUCUGUUCCAAAACCUAGUGAGCUGCCUUGCUGUCUACUUAGGCAGCACUCUGAGUGAAAUAGAAUGAUCUACAUAGGCAGCCCAAUGAGUUAUACAAAUAGCUCUAUCAACUUGACUAGCAAUUGACCCUUCGCCGGGAGUUUGAUUGACAGGAGAUCUAACCAAUCGCCGAAUCCGCCAUUUUGUCCGACAAAGCAGUCAGGGGAGUUAGUAGAUUUACGUUGGUGGACUUGAACUUAAAAAAUUGCGUGUACUGACAUCUUUCCGCGGUUGAAGCAACAUUACUUCUGAUGUUCAUUCAUGUUUAUUUGAUGCUAUAAAUUAAUUAGUAAGAAUAGAUGAUCGGUUCACGAGCCGCUUGAGCUGAGGCGCUACAGCGAUCUGUCACGACACAUUAAAGAGCCACAAAACAGUAUUUAUUGUUUACAUUUCUUUAAAAAUGACAAAAUUUGAGACUUUCAUAUCAAAAGUAACUUGCUCUGUCUUGUCUGUCGACGCGUUGUCAGUGUCCUCUUUGCUCCGCCAUGUAUUUUCACUGCGUUAGAGCGGCAUGGCUUGUCGGACGUAGCAACAGUAACUUAAGGGGGCGGGUCUUUGUGAACGGUCAAUUGAUAGAAUUUUGUGUUCGCUAGUAAACAACACUCUAAUAAACAUAAAAAUACACUACGAAAUACAGUAAGAUUAUGCUCACCAAGGCUACAUUUAUUUGAUCCAAAAUAUAGUAAAAACAAAAAUAUUGUAAAAUAUUAUUACAAUUUAAAAUAACUGUUUUCUAUUUUAAUAUAUUUUCAAAUGUAAUUUAUUUCUGUGAUCAAAGCUGAAUUUUCAGCAUCAUUAAUCCAGUCUUCAGUGUCACACGAUCCUUCAGAAAUCAUUCUAAUAUGCUGAGUUGGUGUUCAAGAAACAUUUCUUAUUAUUAGUGUUUAAAACAGUAAUUCAUAUAUUAAUAUUCUGUGAAAAUCUCUUUUUUCAGGAUUCUUUGAUGAAUAGAAAGUUCAAAAGAACCUUGAUGAAAAAAGUAUUAAUGUCUUUAAAAUUAAAAUCUAACUGAGCACAAACUUUUGAGCAGUAGUGUACACAGCACACAAAAUGUUGGGUAAAUGGUUCUGUUAAGUAUUUCUGCAAAAAAGGCCCAGUUUUACUAAUGAUUUAUUUGUAUUUAAUUGUUAUUUAGAGGUAUUUCUAGGUUAUUAUAUUCGUAAACUUUUAAGUCUAUUGAACAGGUAGAUUUUCCAGUCUACUGUAUUAGUCAGCUUUCUAAUCUAUUCCAUUUCCUUGUAUAAAAGGAGAAUCCAACAACGAUAUGUGACGUGCUGCGAGACUGGAGCGAGGAACCGCUGGCUGGAUACAUUAUAGCUUGUUUAAUUUGUUUGUUUUAAUCUUCCUGGACCACAAACAUCUGAGAUUGUAAGAUUGCUCAAUAAAGGAGAACUUUUGAUAAUUAUUCUCAGUUUGAGACAUCACUGUUCUAACCAGACAAAGCUGCAAGCUCUUCAACCUAUCCUAAUCAGAAUAGAAAGGGUUUCUAAUUCACAAGUUUUUUACAAUUUCUUUUGCUUUGUCUAUCAUUUUGGAUGGAAAUUUUCUCACCAAGCUUUUUGCAAUGCAUUAUUAGACUGCCUUCUCUGCAAAGGAUGCAUGCUGCCACAGAAUUUGGCAAAAAUAAAGUAUCUUAGAAGGUGGAAUAAUUAUGCUGCCCAUCUCUUGAAGUAGCCUUGCAUCAAGAGCGCACGUAAAAUGCUAGACUAACUAGGUUCAGGAACAGAGUAAUUGUGUCCAAUUCAUUUCAGACUUGGCCAGUCUUUAUUCAAUAAAUGUCAGCAAACACAAUAAAAUAUAAAGCGAAGCAAAUGUUGACCAGGUUAAUGUUUGCACAUCAUAAAUGUAUGUCAUAAAAUUCACUGAAGCUCCAAGAUAAAAUAAUUAUAAAUGCCUAAUGCUUGAUUUGUGCCCUUAUUUUUUAUAACUGUUC